UUAUCAGGUAGCAUAAUCCUUACCUUUUCCUCUACUCAGAGAACAGGUAGAACAUGAUGAUUGGAGUUAAAAAGAUUCGUGAAUAACAUCUCUGUGUGAUUAGAGCUGACAACAACCUAAUCGCUCCUAUCUGAU
ensembl:snoRNA U8 U8 small nucleolar RNA